rnacentral:rRNA from 1 species
AUGAACGUGGCGCUCAUGCUAUGUUGGGUUUGGCGGAUCUUGCGGGGAGAUGGGGGGCUGUGGUUGCAGCUGGUUGAGGCCAAAUACUUGCAGGGCCAGCCCCUCUUGGCGUGUUCUCAGUCGGCUGGUUCUCAAUUCUGGAAAUCUAUUCAGGCCAUCAAGGAAGAGAUUAGGUUGGGUGUGCGCUUCUCGGUUGGCAAUGGGUCAGGGACCCAAUUUUGGUUGGACCCCUGGCUUCAGGGCGAGCUUCUCCGCCUACGGUUCCCGCGUCUCUUUGCGAUCUGUGCGGACCCGGGCAUUCUAGUCUCUGAGGCGGCUCUGGAGGACGGAUGGAACAUUGCGUUCCGCCGCUCCUUCGGACCUGCUGAGGUCAGGGAAUGGGCAGACCUGAGGGAAGUAGUCCCUCUUCCUCUGUCCCUGGACCUUGAUUCGGUGUCGUGGAGCCUUUCGCCUUCGGGCGAUUUCUCCGUUAGUUCGGCUUAUCAGGCAUUAUGUAGGCUGCCGAUUCUACCGUGGCUAUCCCCAUUGUGGAAGGCACCGCUACCUUUGAAGAUCAAGAUUUUUGUUUGGUAG